rnacentral:tRNA from 1 species
GGCUUCAUGGUUCAGUUCAUGGUUCAGUCUCCGGUACCGCGGAGAUCACGGGUUCGAAUCCCGUUGAAGCCC